GGUUCGAUCAUGGCUCAGAUUGAACGCUGGCGGGAUGCUUCGCCACAUGCAAGUCGAACGGCAGCACGGACUUUCGGUCUGGUGGCGAGGGCGGAACGGGGAGUAAUGCAUCGGAACGUGCCUAGUAGCGGGGAUAAUUACGCGAAAGCGUAGCUACUACCGCAUAAUACUAGCUCCUCGGGAAAGCGGGGACCUUCGGGCCUCGCACUAUUAGGAGCGCCGAUAUCGACACGUAGUUGGUGGGGUAACGGCUCACCAAGGCGACGGAUCCAGCUGGUUUGAGAGGACGACCAGCCACACUGGGACUGGAGACAUGGUCAGACUCGCAUGUGGAGGCAGCAGUGGGGAAUUUUGGACAAUGGGGAAACCCUGAUCCAGCCAUCCUUAGGCGUGCGAUGAAGGCCUUCGGGUUGUAAAGCACUUUGGCAGGAGAAGAAACGGUAGACGAUAAUACCUCGCAACUGACGGUACCGGCAGAAUAAGCACCGGCUAACUACGUGCCAGCAGCCGCGGUAAUACGUAGGGCAAGCGUUAAUCGAAAUUACUGGGGUGUAAGUGCGGGCAGGCGGUUCGAAAGAAAGAUGGAGAUCCUGAGCUAACUCAACGCAUUUUUAACUACCGAGCUAGAGUGUGUCAGAGUGGGAGGUGGAAUUCCGCGUGUAGUGGUGAAAUGCGUAGAUAUGCGGAGGAACACCGAUGGCAAAGGUAGCUUCCGGGAGAACACUGACGCUCAUGCACGAAAGCGUGGGGAGCAAACAGGAUUAGAUACCCUGUAGUCCACGCCCUAAAACGAUGUCAACUAGCUGUUGGGGCCUUCGGGCCUUGGUAGCGCAGCUAACGCGUGAAGUUGACCGCCCAGAGUACGGUCGCAAGAUUAAAACCUAAAGGAAUUGAUUGGGACUGCACAAGCGGUGGAUGAUGUGGAUUAAUUCGAUGCAACGCGAAAAACCUUACUCAAUUCUUGACACGUCUGGAAUCCCGAAGAGAUUUGGAGUGCUUCUGCAAGAGAGAACCGGAACACAGGUGCUGCAUGGCUGUCGUCAGCUCGUGUCGUGAGAUGUUGGGUUAAGUCCCGCAACGAGCGCAACCCUUGUCAAGAAGCCGCUGCCGCAGCGGGCAUCACACGAGACCGCCGGUGACAAACUUUAGAGGAGGUGGGGAUGACGCCAAGUCCUCGCGGCCUUGCAGGCGUGAUGGGUAGGGCUUCACACGUCCAUGCAAUGGUCGGGACAGAGGGUCGCCAACCCGCGAGGGGGAGCCAAUCCCAGAAACCCGAUCAGUCCGGGACCGUAGCCCGGAAACCUGACUGCGUGAAGUCGGAAUCGCUAAAUGCGGAUCGUGGCUGUCGCGGUGAAUACGUUCCCGGGUCUUGUACACACCGCCCGUCACACCAUGGGAGAGUGGGUUUUACCAGAAGUAGUUAGCCUCCAAUCCGUAAGGAGGGCGAUUACCACGGUAGGAUUCAUGACUGGGGUGAAGUCGUAAUGCUGGGGUAA
rnacentral:rRNA from 1 species